rnacentral:rRNA from 1 species
UACAGAGGGUGCGAGCGUUGUCCGGAAUCACUGGGCGUAAAGGGCGCGUAGGCGGCCUGAUAAGUAGGGGGUGAAAUCCUGCGGCUUAACCGCAGGGCUGCCUUCUAAACUGUCAGGCUAGAGCACGGUAGAGGCAGAUGGAAUUCCCGGUGUAGCGGUGGAAUGCGUAGAGAUCGGGAAGAACAUCAGUGGCGAAGGCGAUCUGCUGGGCCGUUGCUGACGCUGAGGCGCGACAGCGUGGGGGAGCAAACAGG